rnacentral:rRNA from 1 species
CCUACGGGAGGCUGCAGUGAGGAAUAUUGGUCAAUGGCCGUAAGGCUGAACCAGCCAAGUAGCGUGAAGGAAGACGGCUCUAUGGGUUGUAAACUUCUUUUAUAAAGGAAUAAAGUGAUGCACGUGUGCAUUUUUGCAUGUACCCUAUGAAUAAGCAUCGGCUAACUCCGUGCCAGCAGCCGCGGUAAUACGGAGGAUGCGAGCGUUAUCCGGAUUUAUUGGGUUUAAAGGGUGCGUAGGUUGUUUUUUAAGUCAGCGGUGAAAGUUUGUGGCUCAACCAUAAAAUUGCCGUUGAAACUGGAAGACUUGAGUGUGUUUGAGGUAGGCGGAAUGCGUGGUGUAGCGGUGAAAUGCAGAGAUAUCACGCAGAACUCCGAUUGCGAAGGCAGCUUACUAAGCCAUAACUGACACUGAAGCACGAAAGCGUGGGGAUCAAACAGGAGUAGAUACCCGGGUAGUC